CAGUCGCCGCGGUAAUACGGAGGGAGCUAGCGUUGUUCGGAAUUACUGGGCGUAAAGCGUGCGUAGGCGGUUCGUUAAGUCUGUUGUGAAAGCCCCGGGCUCAACCUGGGAAUGGCAAUGGAUACUGGCGAGCUAGAGUGUGUCAGAGGACGGUGGAAUUCCCGGUGUAGCGGUGAAAUGCGUAGAGAUCGGGAGGAACAUCAGUGGCGAUGGCGGCCAUCUGGGACAACACUGACGCUGAGGCACGAAAGCGUGGGGAGCAAACAGGAUUAGAUACCCGCGUAGUCCCUGUCUCUUAUAC
rnacentral:rRNA from 1 species